GCUUCUGGGCUCAUUCUGGCCUCCAGGGCCUUGUACAUGGUAGGCUUUCAUUCAUUGUUUGCACAUUCGGUGAAGGUCUACUGUGUGCCAGGCCCUGUGCCAGGCAUCGUGUAGAUGGACGU
rnacentral:precursor_RNA from 14 species